rnacentral:piRNA from 1 species
UAAUCAGACCUGGCUAGUUAGAGAUGUCAG